rnacentral:rRNA from 1 species
CGCUUUGUGGUUCACUGAUUUGAAGAGCUUGCUCAGAUAUGACGAUGGACAUUGCAAAGAGUGGCGAACGGGUGAGUAACACGUGGGAAACCUACCUCUUAGCAGGGGAUAACAUUUGGAAACAGAUGCUAAUACCGUAUAACAAUGACAACCGCAUGGUUGUUAUUUAAAAGAUGGUUCUGCUAUCACUAAGAGAUGGUCCCGCGGUGCAUUAGCUAGUUGGUAAGGUAAUGGCUUACCAAGGCGAUGAUGCAUAGCCGAGUUGAGAGACUGAUCGGCCACAAUGGGACUGAGACACGGCCCAUACUCCUACGGGAGGCAGCAGUAGGGAAUCUUCCACAAUGGGCGAAAGCCUGAUGGAGCAACGCCGCGUGUGUGAUGAAGGGUUUCGGCUCGUAAAACACUGUUGUAAGAGAAGAAUGACAUUGAGAGUAACUGUUCAAUGUGUGACGGUAUCUUACCAGAAAGGAACGGCUAAAUACGUGCCAGCAGCCGCGGUAAUACGUAUGUUCCAAGCGUUAUCCGGAUUUAUUGGGCGUAAAGCGAGCGCAGACGGUUAUUUAAGUCUGAAGUGAAAGCCCUCAGCUCAACUGAGGAAUUGCUUUGGAAACUGGAUGACUUGAGUGCAGUAGAGGAAAGUGGAACUCCAUGUGUAGCGGUGAAAUGCGUAGAUAUAUGGAAGAACACCAGUGGCGAAGGCGGCUUUCUGGACUGUAACUGACGUUGAGGCUCGAAAGUGUGGGUAGCAAACAGGAUUAGAUACCCUGGUAGUCCACACCGUAAACGAUGAGUGCUAGGUGUUUGAGGGUUUCCGCCCUUAAGUGCCGCAGCUAACGCAUUAAGCACUCCGCCUGGGGAGUACGACCGCAAGGUUGAAACUCAAAGGAAUUGACGGGGACCCGCACAAGCGGUGGAGCAUGUGGUUUAAUUCGAAGCAACGCGAAGAACCUUACCAGGUCUUGACAUCCCUUGACAACUCCAGAGAUGGAGCGUUCCCUUCGGGGACAAGGUGACAGGUGGUGCAUGGUUGUCUCAGCUCUGUCGUGAAUGUUGGGUUAAGUCCCGCAACACGCAACCCUUAUUACUAUUGCCACAUUCAGUUGGGACCUAUGGACUGCCGGUGACAAACCGGAGGAAGGUGGGGAUGACGUCAAAUCAUCAUGCCCCUUAUGACCUGGGCUACACACGUGCUACAAUGGCGUAUACAACGAGUUGCCAACCCGCGAGGGUGAGCUAAUCUCUUAAAGUACGUCUCAGUUCGGAUUGUAGGCUGCAACUCGCCUACAUGAAGUCGGAAUCGCUAGUAAUCGCGGAUCAGCACGCCGCGGUGAAUACGUUCCCGGGUCUUGUACACACCGCCCGUCACACCAUGAGAGUUUGUAACACCCAAAGCC